rnacentral:tRNA from 1 species
GGCCAGAUAGCUCAGUUGGUCGAGCACCUGACUAGAAAGAUUCAGGGGGCCUGGAUUCGAAUUCUGGUCUGGUCC